rnacentral:misc_RNA from 1 species
AAGUCGUAACAAGGUUUCCGUAGGUGAACCUGCGGAAGGAUCAUUACAAAUCCAUCCACGUCUCAUUCUUGAGACCACGUUGAAAUGUUCCCUAGUACCUUGACCUUCAGCCCUUACCGGCAGUCUGUCAUUGGGCUAGGCUUGUAAACUAGUACCAUCUGUUGCUCAAAUGUAUCUUUCUUGAUGUAACCAUCAAGGCAAACAAAGUACAACUUAUAACAAUGGAUCUCUAGGCUCUU